UACGGAGGGGGCUAGCGUUGUUCGGAAUUACUGGGCGUAAAGCGCACGUAGGCGGCGAUUUAAGUCAGAGGUGAAAGCCCGGGGCUCAACCCCGGAACUGCCUUUGAGACUGGAUUGCUAGAAUCUUGGAGAGGCGGGUGGAAUUCCGGGUGUAGAGGUGAAAUUCGUAGAUAUUCGGAAGAACACCAGUGGCGAAGGCGGCCCGCUGGACAAGUAUUGACGCUGAGGUGCGAAAGCGUGGGGAGCAAACAGG
rnacentral:rRNA from 1 species